CAGGUACACUGAUGAAGACAUCCUGCCGAGAUGCGUCUGUCAACCAGAAACACUACUGAAAACUAUUUUGGAAGUGAUGGCACAGGGGUCCCGAAAGCAAAAAUCCCAGCUUGCAUCGCUCCAGCUGGCUGGCCACAAUCUGCCGCUCCGCUUCCAGCUCCCGGG